AGAGUUCGAUUCUGGCUCAGGAUGAACGCUGGCGGCGUGCUUAACACAUGCAAGUCGAACGAAGCACUUUUACAGAUUUCUUCGGAAUGAAGUUUUAGUGACUGAGUGGCGGACGGGUGAGUAACGCGUGGGUAACCUGCCUCACACAGGGGGAUAACAGUUGGAAACGGCUGCUAAUACCGCAUAAGCGCACAGUACCGCAUGGUACAGUGUGAAAAACUCCGGUGGUGUGAGAUGGACCCGCGUCUGAUUAGCUAGUUGGCAGGGCAACGGCCUACCAAGGCGACGAUCAGUAGCCGACCUGAGAGGGUGACCGGCCACAUUGGGACUGAGACACGGCCCAA
rnacentral:rRNA from 1 species